UCUGGAAGCCAGGGGGCGGGGCCUCUGGCUGUGGUUCCCCCAGCCCUCAGGCUGGGCCUCAUUCUGCCUUGGCCACUGCCACGUGAUCAGAGGGGGCGGGGCGGGGGGCUGCUCCUCAGUCCCAGCCUCGACCCAGGUGGGGGCCCUCCUGGCUGCAGGGGAGCUCCAGCCCCAUGGCCAGCCUGAGCCUCCCCUGGCCUCCUCCCUGCUCCCGCCUGGCUCUCUGCCCUUCCUGGAGCCCGGCUGCCUGGGCUCUCUCCAGGAGGCCUUCCCCAGGUCUGCGGCACUCUGCCAGUUCUCCCCGCACCAGGGAUGGUCCAGAUCGGCAUCCUUGGCCCCCUGGCAGCUGCAGGGCGGGUUCUCUCCUCCUGGUGACAGACCUCCCCAGGCCGGCAUUGGGCCGCUCUGGCUUCCGGGUUCUCCUCCUGACCAAUGGGGAGUGGGGAGGGAAGGGAGGCGGGCUUUGGGAAGAGGCUGAUCCCAGGGGCGGCUUUUCUGCACCAGGCGGGCCCCUCUCUGCGGCCCCCCCUGGCUCCUCCUGGUGCUCCUCCUCAGCUGCUGGGAGCCCUGGAGAGUCCUUGGCAACCGCUCCCUCUCCUCCUCGCCGUGGCCAACGCCUUCCUGGGCAAGGAGGGCUUCGAUCUGGACGGGCCACAAGCCGCUUUUCAUAGGCUAUUCCUGCCCUUUACUUCCAGGCUGAAAACGUUGUCGAGAGCUGCUGACCAUUUCCUGCAAUAUUCGUUUGCUUGAAUAGACCCCUGGGGAGGCUAUUCCCUGCCCUGCCUGCCACCUCCGAUCAUUCUGCUGCAUUUCCCUGCCACUUGGGACUGUCUGGAAAACCAGACAUGGCCGGAUCUCUGUCGCUGACUGUCUGUGUGUCUCUCCACCUCACUCUGUCUGUGUGUGUCUCGAUAAAAACAUUAUAUUUGCAA